UAAUACCGGAUAGAUCAAAGAUACUGGAAUGUUCUUUGGUCCAAAACUCCGGUGCCCAAGGAUGGGUCUGCGGCCUAUCAGGUUGUAGUGGGUGUAACGUACCUACUAGCCUACGACGGGUAAGGGUUGUGAGAGCAAGAUCCCUGAGAUGGAUUCUGAGACAUGAAUCCAGGCCCUACGGGGUGCAGCAGGCGCGAAAACUUUACACUGCGGGAAACCGCGAUAAGGGGACCCCGAGUGCCAGCACCUAGUGCUGGCUGUCCAGCUGUCCAAAUAACAGUUGUUAGCAAGGGCCGGGCAAGACCGGUGCCAGCCGCCGCGGUAACACCGGCGGCCCGAGUGGUAGCCGCUAUUAUUGGGUUUAAAGGGUCCGUAGCCGGCCUGUUAAGUCUCUUGGGAAAUCUGGCGGCUCAAUCGUCAGGCGUUC
rnacentral:rRNA from 1 species